rnacentral:misc_RNA from 1 species
AAGUCGUAACAAGGUUUCCGUAGGUGAACCUGCGGAAGGAUCAUUAACAAAUUCCAAAACGCGUGUUUGACUACGUCAUUGCCCAUGGCUGCAGGGUGUCCCCACGUGGGCCAUCCGGGUCCGGCGUUACAUGGUGACGUAGUCUAUCCUAACACACAAAUAACAUUCACAUUCAAUUUUUGACAACCAAGAGUAACCAAUACUUUAAAAAUGUUUAAUCAAAACAACUUUUAACAAUGGAUCUCUCGGCUCUU